GGCUGAUCUGAGUGUAGUGGUGUUUACAAUUAGUUGAUUACAACCAAUUACUUAUUUCUUUCCUUCUCCAUUCCCACUGCUUCAUUUGACUAACCUUAA
ensembl:Y_RNA Y_RNA Y RNA